rnacentral:rRNA from 1 species
GAUGAACGCUGGCGGCGUGCCUAAUACAUGCAAGUCGAGCGAACAGACGAGGAGCUUGUUCCUCUGACGUUAGCGGCGGACGGGUGAGUAACACGUGGAUAACCUACCUAUAAGACUGGGAUAACUUCGGGAAACCGGAGCUAAUACCGGAUAAUAUAUUGAACCGCAUGGUUCAAUAGUGAAAGACGGUUUUGCUGUCACUUAUAGAUGGAUCCGCGCCGCAUUAGCUAGUUGGUAAGGUAACGGCUUACCAAGGCGACGAUGCGUAGCCGACCUGAGAGGGUGAUCGGCCACACUGGAACUGAGGCACGGUCCAGACUCCUACGGGAGGCAGCAGUAGGGAAUCUUCCGCAAUGGGCGAAAGCCUGACGGAGCAACGCCGCGUGAGUGAUGAAGGUCUUCGGAUCGUAAAACUCUGUUAUUAGGGAAGAACAAAUGUGUAAGUAACUAUGCACGUCUUGACGGUACCUAAUCAGAAAGCCACGGCUAACUACGUG